AAAUAAACAAAAAGGCUUGGACUUGAGCCCCAUUAGGUUAUUGCCUCCUUUCUUAUUGACAAGUACAUAGUAUUUGCAGUUGUGGAAGGUGGUGGGGGGGCUUUUUUACGCCGGAGAACAAAAGACCCAACAGGCAAGCCGACCUGUGUGGGCCUUGCAUUGAGGAAAAACUAGUGGACCUUCAACUCUAAUGAUCCAAAGCCUUCACGUACCAAAAAGGUUCUAAUAGACCCCAGAAGCCGGUUGACAAAGAGAAAAGACACCGAACAAACCAAUAUUUGUUUCCAAAAAUAUCCCAAAUAUGACAACUCUAUGAGGUAAGCCAUAAGAUCUAUGAAAAUAGAGUACUACUUGCUUGUAGCUCCUUUGUUUUUGCACUGGCUUAUUUGCUAGGAUGGGGCUUGAACUUUGAAUUGUCCAAGUCCACCCAAGGAGAGGAGUAUUUAAAGCUGUUUGGUUUUUCCUUUGGGUUUCUUUUUUUUCUCUCUCUUUUGUAUGCGAUGCGCGUGUAAUUAUUCAGAGGAAAGUUUGGGGUUUGAUUGGAUUUGAACCAAUACAAACUUGUUGAAGAGAUA